rnacentral:rRNA from 2 species
AGCAGUAGGGAAUCUUCCACAAUGGGCGAAAGCCUGAUGGAGCAACGCCGCGUGGGUGAAGAAGGUCUUCGGAUCGUAAAACCCUGUUGUUAGAGAAGAAAGUGCGUGAGAGUAACUGUUCACGUUUCGACGGUAUCUAACCAGAAAGCCACGGCUAACUACGUGCCAGCAGCCGCGGUAAUACGUAGGUGGCAAGCGUUAUCCGGAUUUAUUGGGCGUAAAGGGAACGCAGGCGGUCUUUUAAGUCUGAUGUGAAAGCCUUCGGCUUAACCGGAGUAGUGCAUUGGAAACUGGGAGACUUGAGUGCAGAAGAGGAGAGUGGAACUCCAUGUGUAGCGGUGGAAU